rnacentral:ncRNA from 20 species
AACUUAUCCAGAGUGACGGAGGGAACAGGACCUACGAUGUCACAGCAACCUACCUUUACGGAGUGGUGCUUCUUCCUGCAGAAUUUUUUCUGAAAGAUAAGGU